AUCCCUGCAUACUACUUUUCCCUCACUGUGUUUCAUCUCUGUCUGUCUCCUUGGUUCCAUUCUACUUUGCAAUAAUUAUAUGAGAGUUAGGGUUGGGUUAUAACGGUGGGCAAGAUUGAGUAGAUUAACAUUAUUAUGUUUUACAUAAUUGGAAAACUCUUAAGACUGUCUCAAUUAACCUGAACCAUGCUGUGUUGUCAUAAAUGAAAAAAAAAAAAAAAAACACAAUUAAAUUAAAAAUAUAUCAAAUUUGAAUUUUGUACUGUCUAUAUUAUGUAUAUACCGUAUGCAUCAUAAAUAUGUGUAUUAGUCAUGAUCGAUUGAUGAAAAUCUAGCCAAAGCAUAGCAUAUAAUUUUUCGCACGUCAUGAUUUUUGGGGUCAACGACCUGUUUGAUCCUGACCACACCCCCUUAUAUGAUGCUACAUAGCCUAGAUGAAGUCAUGUAAUUUCUAUCAAGCAGGUCCACUGCAAGGGGUAUACAGUAGUAACAUCAAUUUUGACUUCAGGCUACAAAACAAAAGCUGCUAACUUGUAAUGUCCCAAUUUACCUGACGUAACCCUGUUAAUAGUAGAUUUUAGUUAGUAAUUAUAGACUGGAAAUGAUUGUCACUUAGUUCUUGCUUGCUGGAGGAUAAAUGUCCUUCUGACUCAGUAACAGAGCCAUAGACUGCCCUCCAGUGGUGUAACAUUCACACUGCAGCCCAUGCAUUCUGAUACACCAGAAAUGGCAGUCACUACAGUUUGUCUUGGUUCUAUAAUUCGAUAUUAUUAUAAUGUUAAAUUACUGCGUGCUUUAAUGCUUUUUUCUGUCUCUCUGACUUGCUUACUUUGUUAAAUCAUCAGUGUGUGUCUGCGUGUAAUUGUUUAUUCUUGAGAGAAUGCAUUUACUUUAGGUGUCCACAAAGGUAUUGUGCUGUCUAACGUCAAGCACAAAGCACUAAUCCAACGCAGACCGGAGUGGAGCAAUAUUCUGUCCGCUCUUCUGUCUGGUGGUUUCUGUAUAACAAAAAGAGAUGUGAAACAAAACCUUUCAGCUAGCUUUCUUUCUGCCAGCGUCUACUGGUUCCCCUGCCUGGAAGGUUUUCAGUCAGAUGCAAAGAUCUUACCGUGAUGUCAUGUUAAUGUCAGUCGUAUGUCUUUGCAGAUGGUAAUUACGAGAUUUGAGACGAUGGCGUACUGUAAAAAAAAAAAAAAAAAAAAAAAAAAAAAAAAAAAAAAAAUUGUCUAUAGGGCAAAUGAUGCUGACAAAAUGAUUACCAGUCUCUCAGAAGUUACUGAAUAUCUCUCGACAUCACUGAUUGAAAUCUGCUCAUUUUUAUUUAAUCGGUGUCAUUACCAUGAGUAAUACUCUAAUUAAUACUAUGUAAUAGUGCUGUAAUUACUCAGACUAAGAGCUCUCUAAGGGUGAACACUGACGUACUUUAAGACAUAGUGCAUAUCUUUCUUAUACAUAAAUAGUCUCUUUGUACACCUGAAGAUUUUUACAGUCCUUACAGUGAUGUAAUCAUUGAUUGUACAGGUGAAACUGAAAGCUAUAUGUAGCCAUACAUAGAUUGAGGUAUUUAAAGGAUGGAUUUAAGGAUUUUCCUUCUCUCUCAUAUUCUCUCCAUGAACAAGACCAGAACUCCAGGCUGAUGUCCACACACUCCCAGCUGUUGUCUCUCAUUCUUGUAUGUUUGGCAUGACAGCUGUCAAUCACAUCACUUCUUGACACACAGCCCUGCUGUCUUCCCCACUUGGAAAACAAGCUCCACACACACACACACACACACAUGCUGAUGUGUGAUGGGCUAAAUCAAGCCCAUGUAUGGUUCUUCAACGACUUUAGUUUCAGUGUGAGUUUAGAUGUGAUGCAGCGUCCUUGCUGGAUUUUUUGUUUUGUUUUGUAUUGUUUUGUUUUCAUGCUGCAGCAUGCAUGCACAUGUGUGUGCUGUGCAUGUUCACGCGAAGCGCGCGCGAUGGCCGCCGGCCGCCGGCACUGUCAAAGACGGUCUAAUAUUAGCGUCUGCCUGAUGGCUGGCUGUAUCUGGACAAGGAGAGGGCGAUAAAUGAGGAUAGCAGUGGCCAGAAAGGGGGGCUGAGCUUGCAUCGAAGGGAGGAAUUUUUAAAAGGGAAACCGUCCACGUCGUAAAGGUGAAGAGCAAGCAGGGAUGUGCACGCUGUUCUCUAAAACAGAUGACAAAAACGCAUGUCAUUGUAGUCGCAGAGAGAAUCUGAAAUUGAAGCCAAGACAGAAUGAUGAAGAUGAAAGAUCAUGCCCCAAAAAAAAGACAAAAAGGAAGAAGGAAGUGUUUUGUAGGAAUUUCUCCCCCCACCCCACCUCCAUACAGUGUCAAUGAUUUGCGCCUGUGCACUGAAGUACGUCGGCAUUCCCCCUUCCCUUCGUCCCUCCUCCCCAUCAUCCCUGGCAGCUCUCUCCCCCCUCUCUCAACCCAAGCCUGGGGGAACCAGUGGAGAUUAAAUGUAGCCUCUAUAAGCCAAGCACAUCAUGUAGCUAUGUUUAUAGGACCAGCUCUCUCUCUCUCUCUCUCUCUCUCUCUCUCUCUCUCUCUCUCUCUCUCUCUCUCUCUCGCUCGCUCUCUCUCUCUGUCUGUCUCUCUCUGUCUGUCUCUCUCUCUCGUUUUCUUUUAUUCUCAUUUAAACCUGCCUGAGUGGGUAUCUAUGAGAUGUAGAACAGAGAUGGGCAGGCUGAGUAGCUCCCAAGAUAUAGGUUGAAAUGAAAGAGAGUGGUCGAAAUAAAAGAAGAAGAAGAAAAAAAGAUGGAUAAGAGCAAAGCGGAAGACUUUCUCAACCCCCUCCUUUCUGUUCCUUUCUAUUCCUCUCUGUCUCUCUAGCUCGAUCUGGCUCUGGGGUUGAUAUGGCAUAGAGGUGGGCCUCUGACUUUAACUAAUCACAGCUGUGAGAGCAAAUGUAUGGAUGAUACUACUUUUCUCCCUCUCUACUUCCCUAAUUUUUUUUCCAUCCUGCCACUCAACAUGGAAUUAUAAAUGCAGGACUGGUGGGGGAUAUGGGGGUGGGGGGGUCAUGCUUUUCCUCCUGCACCCCCCCCAACCCUUCAAUUUUACUCAAACAGAGAUGGAAUGAGAGGAAAAGUGUGCACACGGCGGGAGAGAGAGAGUGAGUGAGUGAGUGUGUGUGUGUGUGAGAGAGAGAGAGAGAGAGAGAGAGAGAGGGAGGGAGGGAGAAAUGUAAGACAGAUACAGAGAAUGAAAGAGAAGAAGGGGGUGUGGAGAGUGGAGCAGAAGCUGCACAGUGCACUGAUGCCUGUGCCUCUUUUCAGUCGCCUCGUCCGCAGCUUUUCUCGUCAGGGAGAUUUGUGCUUUCCUUUUUGGUUUUCGCUGGCUGCGAUACCAGGGAUAUACGCCUACAUGGAGCCACUGUAGCUAAUCAACUCUGGACCAGUGAGGCUACGGGAGAAAGCGGUCAGCUGUGUCCUUACAACCAAACCUGGGUUUGCCGCAUGCCCAGAGCAGAGACAGAUUUUGACCAUGUGCCUCUCGCAGUCCCUGAGACCCUAACUUGUGACGUUUUGCUGUUCUGUGCACGGGUUAGGCUCUUGGGAGCUGGGAGGGGUACUCCAUCAUCCUAGCACUGUGGGAGACAAAGCCAUUUUAAAGCCAAAUCAACAGUGAAAUGAAUCCACAGUGAAGGGGGGUGGGGGGGGGGGGGGAUAUAAGCUAGCCAGGGAUAUGAAGAGAAGAUGGCUUUUUUGGAAGGGGAGGGAUAAAGGAAUGCUGGCAUCAGGGGUCAUGUGACACAUUUGUGGUUCGAAUCAGCUGAGGCUUCAUUGUGAGAGGAGGAUUCCUUUCCAAUGCACAACCACGAGGAGCAAAUGAGCAGUCAUGUAUGGUUUCUCUUCAGCGAGGCCAUACUGUAUGAGUGUCUUUGUCUUCUCCGUGCUGGCUUGUCCUUGCCUAAUGAUUUGAGAGCAGCACAAAGUACUGGUGAGAGCGUGACGCUUACGGCUCGGUACACUUGUGUUUGACCUCAGUGAGAGUCCUCAACCUUGUGCUCUGAAGACAUCAACUCACUCUCUCUUCAGCCUGCUGAUUGUGUGUGUGUGUCUGAGUGUGUGUGUGUGUGUGUGUGUGUGUGUGUGUGUGUGUGUGUGUGCGCACACAUGUGCUCCAUUUCUGCAUGGCAUAGCUUUAGUAUGUAGCACUGCUGUGCUGUUUGUUGUAAGUCAGUGCUGAACGGUGCCAUUAUUAUUUGUAUCUUUUUUUUGGUUUGUGAAAAAUCUGACGCACUCCUGAGACGGAUUAGGGCGGCUUUGGCUUCUCCGAAGCAGGAACUCACAAUGAUACAGCUCAAGAGAAUAUACCAUUGUACCAGCAUAGGUACCAACAAAGCACUCCUAAUAUAGCUUACAUAUUGAUAAACAAUCAGGCAUGGGAGGUGGUUUUCUUUGUGCUGAUCUUUCCACUAUCCAUAUUACUCAGACACCGAAUGUCCUCUCAUCUAGGUCAUAGCUGACUGACUGCUCAUUAAAAUGGCACCUCGGACUUAAUGGAAUAGCGUGACAAGGAAAAAUGUAUAUAAAAUAAAAAGCUGGGUCUAUGUGUGUAGGUUUUCCUGGGCAAAGGCGCAAUGCGGUGUGGGCAGCAGCUACAUCCUAAUGUAUGACGAGCAUAGUGCCAUCACGUUCACCAGCCAGCCUCACUCUGUUAACCACCACCGAAUCAAAAGAUAGGACUAUGAUAGCGCAGCCGCUCGUGGUGCCAUUUCACAGGGAUGAUGUUGUCAGUCAGGGGUGAGGCACUUUGUCUGGAUGCUUGUCCAGGUAGCCGCAGUCGUAAGAGGAUUUGUUUGGUACACUCUGCUUAGAUUGCUUUCUGGAUUUUCUAAUGAAAAUGCCCAAGCCUCUGUUGCUGGGAUUUCAGUUUCUGUGUGUGUGUGUGUGUGUGUGUGUCAGUAUGGGCUUUGCCCCUGUCUCUGCAGUGCUUUGGUAUCUGAGCUGCAGUUCUAUUGUUUGCUCCUCACGCUGCACUCCUUUGGCACAGGGGCAGCCUCUGCUAGUUUUAAGGUGGACCAGACAUAGGGACAGGAGCCUGGCCCAAGCGUUUAAGGUGGAGCAGCAAAGUCAGGCAGGGCCAGGUGCUUAGAACAAAGGUUGCUGAGGUGAGCUGUGCAGGUGGAGUGACAGAGACAGAUCCACAGUGGGUAACGCCCAUGGCUGGGAAGCUCUGAGCCGUCUCCGACAUACAAUCACACACACAUUUUCUCACAGACCACUAACCAGCGUUGAUCAUUCAGGUAUCUGAAAUCGGGUUUAGAACCCCAAACCUGGUCUUAGCUUCCUGCUCAGCUUUUAUAGAGAUCGCACUGCCACAAAAAACGACACAUUUGAUCAAAUAUCCUGUUUCUCAGAAUGCAAGCAGGUCUCAUGAGAAGAUCCAGUGUUAGUUUAUUACAGUAAGAUUGUUUUUCAUGGUCAGCGAUAUGAGAUUGAGCCUGUUCUGAUGCAAACAGCCGUCUUGAGCUUUCUUGGAAUUCCCGUGUAGGUAAAUGAGACAAGAUGGUGCUGAAGCACGUGGUGCUGCUCUGAACCCAAAUCCUGCAGCGUUUCUGUCACUGUUUCUGUAUUCUUUCAGCAGAUGCAACAGAUAAGGGCUGAGUGAAAAUAUGAUGCGAUAUCACUAUCUAUUGUUGUUCACAGUAUUGAGGCAGUUGAUGCUGUAAUCACUUCUGUCUUUUCUUUUUUAAUGUGGCAACGCUGAUUUGCUGAUUCACACAAAAUAUUAUGACACAUACCAAGUAUCAUGAAAUGAUCAUUUUUUUCCCCUGUCACCUUCCCCAAGUUCAGAUUUCAGCCUUGAAAAUGAGUCUGAAUAACAUGGCAACAGGCUUGACAAUAUUUUUCUCAGCUUUUCUCGGCAUUCUGGCAUAAAUAAAUGUAGAAUGAUCUUGACCCUCAGGUUCUCCUGCUAUUGAAUUGAGUGUUGAAAUGGGUAAUUAGUUUUUACUUUAGCGUUAAUUAAAAAAGACUGCUACUGUAAGUACUCUAUUUAAGACCAGAUACAUUUAGACACAUUCCUAGUCAAAAUAAAAGGGAGUUUGCAUCCAGCACACUUUCUAAAGAACUAUUCAGAUAUGGAAUAUGUGAAAAUAAAGUAGUGAUCUAUAUUCUACUAUUCUAAAUAAUACUCUGUCCAAAAAAAAAAGAAUCCAAUUUUUUUGCCAUAAAUCAAGGUUAGUCCUGCAAAUCUAUGUACUUCGGCCAUGAAUUUGUAGAGUAGGUCACUAAUAUUAUUUUAGAGAGUGCAAUGCUGUAUCACUAUUGUAACAACUGUACUAUAGAUUUCUGAAAUUGGAGGAAUGGUAUAUAAUCUGUGUUCAAUAAAGAGGCGUGUGAAAACUUAUACAAACGCACACACACACACACACACACACACACACACACACACACACACAUACAGUGACCCAUCUGCCCUCUCGCUGAACAAGGCCCCUAAGAUCUGAGGCUGGGUUUGAGGAGCUUAAACAUGACUCCUACACACCAAACCCGAUUAACCAGCGUGGGUCUAAACUAAUUAGUUCAGGAGGGAAAUGUCAUCGGCAUAUAUCCAAUGCUUCCCUCUCAGCCAUGGGUCCUGCCCUGCACUGGAAUGCUGGUCAGCUCUGUCAUCCUCUCCCCUCGACCUGGCCUCCACACGCAGCGCAGUAUACUUCUUUCAGAGCACUGAGGGCAGUGGUGCUUUAUGGGAAGACAGUGGAAAUCCUCUAAGACAUUGUGGGUGAGCGCCAUGCGGCUCUUUGGCUCGUCUCACUGGCGCUGUUUGCCGAUUGUACAUUGCUUCCACACACGUUGUGAUUGCUUGCCUGAGCACCACGUGCUGUUUGCUAACAUUACAUUAGCAAGGCGUUAAUUAAAUACCUUAUGGUUUGAAAGUGUACAUGAUGUUCCAUCUGGUAGAGAGUUGCUAUAUCUGAAGGUGUUAUGGUUUAUGAAUUAAUAACACAGGUAGUGAAAUUGAGGACUGGUAUUCAAAGUCGGGCCUGUGAAGCAUAGCCAGGAGGUCUGAUUUAUUUAUUUAUUUAUUGAUUUUUAUUUGUUGCAGUGCUGGAAAUCAAAGCACUCCAUUAUUAUAAUUUAUUAUAUUUAUUAUUACGUUCAUAUAGUUAUUAGCCUGCUUGACAGGAAUGAAUGGGUUUCAUCCAAACCUCGAUAACUCAAAAACAAGUAGACCUACAAAUAUUAUUAACUUCUACCUGGUGUAUUCUGUUGCCAUACAUUUCAUGAAUAAAACAUUUAAUAGCUCCUAUAAAUAGAUAUAAUAUUAUUAGACAUUUAAAUAAUAAUCAAAUAUGAAUAGUUGGAUGUUUGAAAGAGUCUGUUAAACUUAUUUUUACAGUUAAAUUUCGUGAAUCCUGUCUGUAUAUGUAGUGCAUGUACAUUUCUUAUUUAUGGCGGACACUAGAAUUAUAUAUUUUGGUUUUGCAUUGUUAUUGGAAUUUGAUGUUCAGUAGAUGAAAUAAAAUGACACUAAAAGGCAAAGUCUGCUUUUCAGUCUGUUCCUCGUUUCACAUCUAGCCUCCCCAGAUUUGUUUUAGCCUGAUUAAUUUGUCAUUAAUAUGCAGACUGUCAGUGUUCUCACUGAAGACAGUCAGUCUGUAACUAUAGUGAUGCUGCUGUCAGUGCAGGCUGGGAGAUUUGCAUGACAGUGGCUGACAAUCGCUUCUCAGCAGCUCGCCAGGAGCAGUCAGUGGAGCCAGGUCUCUAGAUGGUGAGAAAAGGGUGUUGGCAGCUCUCUCUCUCUCUCUCACUCCAUGUCUGUGUGUGAGUCCAUCUGUGUUUGUGUGUAUGGCACAAAGCAACACAAAAAUUCUGGUGCUUGCAUGUACAGUAUCUAAGGACCUAAACAGUAUCAGGUUUUAGGCGUCACUACAUGAACCAUGUCAUACAUCAUAUUUCCUCUUAAUGUCAAAGAAAUGUCAUUAUUAAGAUGUUUAAAUGAUUUGAUAGCUCAUUUGAAAAGCUGCUGUGUAGCCUGUAAAAUAUUUCAGAUUGAAAUAAGAUUAAAAAUAAAGUAAAAUGCGCAUUUAAGUUUGAAACCUUGUUCAGUCACCUGACUUUCAUAUUUUCCUUUGUUCUUUUUGCCUUUUUCAGAAGUGAUUAAAGGUGACAUUAAAAGAGAAUAUCCGGCUUAUUUGUGCAACUUAUUUAUAUCUUACUCACUGGUUGUGAUGCACUAUGUAAACAUGUUUAAUUAUUUCACUUUAUACAAUGCAAUAAUUGCUGCAGAUUUCUAUCAGCUUAUAAUCUCAUUGUCUGCAGCUAACAUAUCACAACAUUGUGUUAUUUGCAAAUAAUGAUUGCAUUGGUUUCACACCUUUUGCCAUUUGGUGGCACUACAUUUUUGUCAAAGCUGUCAGAACAUUUGAAACAUGUUGAUCAUAGGGAUUUUCUUCAUUAUAAUGUGGAAUGUGAUUUUAUGAUUUUAUAUUUUCUACUACGAUUAUCUGGCCCCUGAUUAAACUUUGAUUUUAGAUCUCCAAACUUUGGAUGCUUCUAUGAUAAUCCCAGAUCUAAAGUAGCACUGGAGAAAAUGGCAGCAUGGAAGUUGUUAAGGCUCACCUACGUAUGUUAGGUUCAGCUCUCUAACCUUCUGUUUUAAGAUGAAGGAGGACAGGAAGUAAUGGCUUCACUUCACAGAGCAACAUAAACUGUCCUUUACAUAACUGUCUUCUUCCUGUGCAUAACUGUCUUUAACAUUGGCUCGCAAUA